rnacentral:misc_RNA from 1 species
GAUGAAGAACGCAGCGAACUGCGAUAAGUAAUGUGAAUUGCAGAAUUCAGUGAAUCAUCGAGUCUUUGAACGCACAUUGCGCCCCCUGGCAUUCCGGGGGGCAUGCCUGUCCGAGCGUCAUUGCAACCCUCAAGCGCGGCUUGUGUGUUGGGCUUCGUCCCCCCGUGGACGUGCCCGAAAGGCAGUGGCGGCGUCCCGAAUGGUGCCCGAGCGUAUGGGAACUCUCUUCCGCUCGAACCGGCCCAUUCGGCGCUGGUCGAACCCCAAUUUUUUUUUACCGGUUGACCUCGGAUCAGGUAGGGAUACCCGCUGAACUUAAGCAUAUCAAUAAGCGGAGGA